rnacentral:rRNA from 1 species
GACGAACGCUGGCGGCGUGCUUAACACAUGCAAGUCGAACGAUGAAGCCUAGCUUGCUAGGUGGAUUAGUGGCGAACGGGUGAGUAAUACGUGAGUGACCUACCUUUGACUCUGGGAUAAGCCUGGGAAACUGGGCCUAAUACCGGAUACGACCAAUCUCCGCAUGGGGUGUUGGUGGAAAGCGUUAUGGAGUGGUUUUAGAUGGGCUCACGGCCUAUCAGCUUGUUGGUGAGGUAAUGGCUUACCAAGGCGACGACGGGUAGCCGGCCUGAGAGGGUGACCGGCCACACUGGGACUGAGACACGGCCCAGACUCCUACGGGAGGCAGCAGUGGGGAAUAUUGCACAAUGGGCGCAAGCCUGAUGCAGCGACGCCGCGUGAGGGAUGACGGCCUUCGGGUUGUAAACCUCUGUUAGCAUCGAAGAAGCGAAAGGACGGUA